CUUUGCACAUAGUAAGCGCUUAAUAAAUGCUAUUAUUAUUAUUUAACCCCCUCCCUCCUGGGUGUGCGUCGUCGGGGUGGGAGGCACUUAGUGCUCUUCAGAAGAAUGGUGCUAUAGAAAUUCAAGAAAUGUUCAUUUCUGAGGCUUUUGGAUGCUUCAGAUAAUCCCCAGGCAAUCCUUCAGAUUUCGCCACAUCCCAGCAGAGCCGAAAGGGUCGAGGGAUUCCUUUUGUGCGGAUGGGAAACUGAGCAACGGGGACCAAGUUCACAUACCCAGUGGCCCGCAGCUGAACAGAAGGUGAAAUCCAGGAGGCUGGAUUCCUUCUUUCCCACCGUACUUUACUGUAAAUGUUGAAUUACUAGCUCUGAUCCCAGAGAAGAGUCACUACAAGAAUCUAGUUCCAGCUUCUCUUCUGUGCCCUAUGGGAAUAGAUCCCAUGGUCAGUCGCCUGAUCCUUAAACCACUCAUGUCCCCUCAACCUCACCACGAAGCACGUCCAUUUCUUCCCUUAAGGGAGAACGGUCUGCCGUCCGACCGGGGUGAUUUUGCCGUGACUGUUCUGUGCAGAGAGGAGGCUUGGUUCAAAGCACAACUCCACGAGCAGACCUGGCCUCUUUCUGAGAUCCCUUUGGCCACAGGAUGGGACCGCGUGACCUCCAGCUAUGGCUUGACCCCCGGUACUGACCGGAAUGGUUUGCCCUCCCGUGAAGUCCGCCUCUCUGGGUGAACUCUACUGAUACCUUGCAAAUUCUCCCAGAGCUCAAGUGUUAUCUGAGUCAUUGUUCCUCUCCUUCACCCGUCCCUAAUCCGCUUCUUGAAACAACAACCUUUGACCCCUUCUCCAGCUCUAGCUACUGGAGGUUUCCACCCAUCUGCCCUGCUGGAGAGUUACUCGACUCUUCCCAACUCAAGCCAACCCCUCUCCACUCCCAUCUCCAAGUUACCGUCCCCGAGUUCUUUUAGAGCACGGAAAGCCCCAGUUUCUGUUCCCCUGCUUAUGUUCCAACUAAUUAACUCUCUUGGAGCGGUCCGAAGCGGCUCUUGGAGUCAAGCUCUUCUCCGGAUCGCUGCUUCCAUGCGGAGGUUCUCUUUCUCCAAGCCGUCAACCCGUCCCCGGGGAUCACGUUGGCCAUCUGGGAAAUCAUCAACUGCUGACCCGUGCUCUUCUUGACUUUGCUCUUCCUGGCAUUGGCUUCGCCUUUUCCUGAGCCCCACAGAAGCGAUUAGAGAUAGAGUUGGCCCAGCCGGUUAUGGGACAGCAUGGAGUGAAUGUUUGCUUGCUUGACUGAAAGUAGCCCCUACCCGAACAGGAGUCAGCACUGUAGUUUCAGAGGGUAAAGAGGUGUAUUGUACUCUUCCAAGCGCUUAGUAGAGUGCUUCGCACACAGUACGAAUGAAUGAAGGUGUCUGGAGUCCACCAGCCCGGGCAAACUGCAGCCCAGCUGUGACCUUAGUCUUCUGACUUUCUGCCUGCCUUCUUACCAAAGCUCGCUAAUGCACGGCAGACUGUCCGGUGCCGGGUUAUCCCUCCGGGUCUUCUGGCCUUUCCCGUCUUCUUCAUCCUACCUCUGUGGCCUCUCUCUGGAGAGGGGCAGCGAGUCGGCAUUUCUUUUCCUUCUUUUUCUGGUCCCGGGUCCUCCUCUGAGGACCUCAUCCACCCCUGAAGCAACAGGAAGUCCCAGUUUGUGCCCAGCGCUCAGAAACAGCCGUGCCAACCAUUGCUCAUCCGUUCCUCACCCUUAUCUGCCGACGACCACCAAAUCAGUCCGAUCCGACCGGACUGGCCACGCAUCUAGUCUAGUCUGCCCACCCCUGGAACUCGGGGGCCGCGGAGGAGAGAGACAGGGCAGUUCCUGUUGUGGAAGGGUGGCAUUCAGAUUGCCAUCCCAGGGACAGGCCAGACGUUUGGGCCCACAAACGAUAACCUGACGCGUGAGAUAGAACCUGGACUACAUCCCUCUUUACAGCGUGUGCGCAAAUAUCUUCCACACUGGCUCAAGCGCCUGGUGUCUUCAAUGCUUAACGCAGUGCUCGGCACGCGGUAAGCGCUCCAUAAAUACCGCUGAUUGAUGUAUUGUGUACCACACCUGCCCGCUUUUCUCCUCCGUGCCACAUAAGAAGCACCUACACAAAUGAGGAAUCGCUGUAUUUAUGUGACUCCUUGAACGAAUAGGGUCUCGUGGAGCCUGUUCCCACCAAUCCCAUCCCUUCUACUUCCUCCCCUUCUCCUGCCCUGCUUCGCUCAGACAACUGAAGGGAGAUUCCUCCGCUGCUACCAACUUCCAUUCCGGUUGGGAGGGUGAAAACCCCGAUUCCCGACUCUGUGUCCUAACGGAUGGUCUUAGCGUUAGUCCCAAGAGCGAGCCAGCGUCGGUCCUGGCAGGUAGGCGGGGAGAGGGCAGCGGAAGACCCAGCCUUAGGGGUGGAUUGUGGUUUGAGGAUUUGGGGAAUUUUCCCCCUUUAAACCCAAGUGCAGUAGUCAAGUCCAGUGACCACCCAUCCAAACACCGUGUUCUCAUUCUUGUCAGCUGAGGGAGAACCUUUGCGCUGCCUCAUUUUCACACAGAGCAUGGGUUUGUCCUCAUUACCCCGGGUUUGUACUGGGAACAUGGCUGAAGAGACACGGCCUGCCCUGCGGCAGUUUUCAGUGUAAGACAGAGAUCACCGGCAUAGUGAAGCCCCCACAGGGGCACAGUGAACCAAGUGGCGCGUGUGGCCCAACCUGCGAAAAGGGGGUCUUUCCUCUUCUGUCCGUGUCCCAUCGCUUCUCAGUUUUCCACCGGCUUUGGUAGUGUAAGGUCUAAGAUGUCCCUGUUGGGAUUGUCUUUUGGAAAUGGAGCCUUGGCGCUGGAGAUGCCGGUUUGUGGAAGGUCACGGUCGCUGACUUGAGCGGCCUUUCUGAAGCUCCCAGCUUCCUGGGAGCGCUGGGGGCUGAGGACUGGAGGCCACUCAGUCUGGUAGUGCCUGAAGGACAAAGGCUCUCUUCUGUCUCCUUGGGGUGACUGGAAAUGCAGUGUUUACCCCCAAGUAUGUCCCCCGCCAGGGAGGCUUUGCCCAUCAUCUUCAGCACCUGGGCAGCAUGCACCUUCCCAGGCAGUUUCUUCUAAAGGGACCUGUCGUGCCAUGCCCGGUUCUGGGGGGUGGACCACGAGCCUGCCGUGAGAACCCUUGGUAUCCCAGCAUCUGCUGAGUUGCCGUCUUCGCUUCCAAGGGGGGCAAGGCCCCUGGUGAGAUAAAUCCAGGUGCUACUGCUGUUGGAGACUGGAGUGUGGUUUGACACGCAACUGACCCCUCGCCCCCAACCUGUCUGUGUCUGGACAGGGAAAAUAAACAGGGUGACCGGGGUCCUAAGGAAUCAAUCGGCCAUUCGUAUUUAUUGAGCACUUACUGUGUGCAGAGCACUCUACUAAGCUCUUGAGUGAGUACAGUAUAACAAAGCGGUAGACACGUUUCCUGCCCACAACGAACUUAUAGUCCCAGUAAAAGGACUGUACUGCUGAAUCACAAGAACCAGGUCUUCUGGGGGGGGUGAGGGUGGUCUCCUGUCUGCAGGCAGGUGGGCUUGUAUCUGCCAGCCAACCUUGUCCUAUCUCUUUUCCCCCAAGCACCCCUGAACACCCUGUCCAGGCUCUGCCUAUCCAGAAUCCCCCACCCACCGUAGCCAGAGAAGGUCCUCUGCACUCCGAGACUUGAACGCCCGAGCUUUUGAAAGCAGCCGCGCUGUCAGAGGGGAAGCGAUGAGGGAGAAAGCAGGCCCGAUUGCCGUUUCAGCCCUCCCUGCACUGACGCAGGGGCAGUUGGAGCCGGGCGGCUCCGGCUUUACUCUGGCCGGGGCUCCGCGUUCAGACAGGCACAUCUCCAAGGAGGUGAUCUCUUUCCUGCCCUGAGAGGAUGGACGGGAGAGGAUCCCCCUCCCCAAUCCUGCCUGUUAGCCCAGUUCAUCAACGCGCUGAGGGCUGCAGGUGCCCGUAGCAGGUGGACCCUGGAAUGCCCCCGAUCGUCCCCCGCCCUGGGAGCGUUGCUCUGCUGACCCCACCAUAGGCCCCUGGAGAAUGCAUCUGCCAAACCACUUCUCAUCAGCGGUAGAAGAUUCCCAAACUGGGCGUGGGUCCUGAUAGAAAGGCCCCAAACCAGCCGCGGGAUGGGCCGCCUGACUGCCCGGCAGAGAACAAAGGUCGUGGCCCUCCGACUUUUACAUUUGAGGUGGCAGAACAACCGGACAAGCCUCUCCUCGCUCUCCCGGGUGUAGGAGUUCCAGUCGUGGAGGCUGGGAAUUUCCCAACGCGUUGUUCCACUGUCGGUCCGGAGGGAGGAAAGGGGCUGGGGGCAAGAGGGGAGCAUCGCUUCCUGGAGCCGAAGAGGUCUUGUGGUUUGGGCCUUGGAGGUGGUCAUGCUAUUAUUGAUGUGUUCCUUGUGACUUUUUUGCUAUCAAUAUAACUAGAACUUUUAAGGUACAUACAGUUUUUGAAGGGGGGGGGGAAGAAACCUUUAUUAUGUAUUUGUAGCAAAAAUCAUUUUUCUCAAUAAAUGCCGUUUCAUCCA